AUUGAACGCUGGCGGCAUGCUUUACACAUGCAAGUCGAACGGUAGAGGGGGCAACCCCUUGAGAGUGGCGAACGGGUGAGUAAUGCAUCGGAACGUGCCCAGUCGUGGGGGAUAACGCAGCGAAAGCUGUGCUAAUACCGCAUACGAUCUCUGGAUGAAAGCGGGGGACCGAAAGGCCUCGCGCGAUUGGAGCGGCCGAUGUCAGAUUAGGUAGUUGGUGGGGGAAAGGCUCACCAAGCCAACGAUCUGUAGCUGGUCUGAGAGGACGACCAGCCACACUGGGACUGAGGCACGGCCCAGACUCCUACGGGAGGCAGCAGUGGGGAAUUUUGGACAAUGGGCGCAAGCCUGAUCCAGCAAUGCCGCGUGCAGGAAGAAGGCCUUCGGGUUGUAAACUGCUUUUGUACGGAACGAAAAGGUCUGGGUUAAUACCCUGGGCACAUGACGGUACCGUAAGAAUAAGCACCGGCUAACUACGUGCCAGCAGCCGCCGUAAUAC
rnacentral:rRNA from 1 species